GGAUGGUUGUAAGGCCCAGAUUUGUCCCCUCAUUUUCUGGCUGUGGAGUCUGGCUUCUCUGUGCCAUUGGUUUCUGCAAGUAAUUGUUAGCGUGUAUCCUUAUUGCAAGAAGAGAUUAGUAUUCGGCUCUUGCUAGAAGUAACAACAAUGUGGCACGAUGAGGAUGAAGGUGGAUUCUCGAAUUCGAAUGAUGGUAGAGAAUGGAGGGCGAUGUUAACAUCGAACUACGUUUGUCAUCGUUGAUGACAAAAGCCAAGAGCAGGUGCCCUGCACGUCGCUACUGUGAAAAAAAUCCUACAGAGGGUGACAAGGAUUUGAAAGAGGAAGAAAUUCCUUCAAGCUACACAUCCAGCUGGUCUACCGGUGCAGAGAUAUACUACUCUUGAUCACGUGUUUUCCCGUCAUCUGAUUCGCUUCUUACAUUACCAGCUUCUCACUUGAAGCUGUUUUGCUUUUCUGAAGGGUAUGCUUGUUCUAUUUCUAUUUCUAGAUGAUUUAAUAAAUCGUAUGAUAGCGUCUUGUUGCUAAGCCAUUGUGGCUGAGUUCUCUCAUGUAAUGAUUAAGAUAGUUACAUGACUUUGUUGUUAUCUAAGUUUUUCGUCUUCCUUCUUGGUAGCAAUUUCUUUCGAACCUGCCAGAAUCAUGGUUGUUUUGAUUCUCUUUCCUUCAUGCUAUUCUUGAGUAGAACUUUUAUGCAGUACAGUGGCGCUAACUGCAGCUCGAGGUAGAGGUUUUGAGAGUGGCAACGGCUAAGGCAGUUGUCCUUAGGUAUUGAUUGAGUUCAAACAACACUAACAACCUUCAAAUAAGAUUUGUUAGUGAUUAAGUGUUGCCUCGGUUUCUUUGUGUUAUUAGAUUUUAUACAAGAACCGCUAACCAAUGAAUUUUAGUGAUUUCACAA